ACGAACGCUGGCGGCGUGCUUAACACAUGCAAGUCGAACGGUGACGGAGGAGCUUGCUCCUCCUGAUCAGUGGCGAACGGGUGAGUAACACGUGAGCAAUCUGCCCCUGACUCUGGGAUAACUGCGGGAAACUGUAGCUAAUACCGGAUACGACGCGCGAAGGCAUCUUCUGCGCGUGGAAAGAAUUUCGAUCAGGGAUGAGCUCGCGGCCUAUCAGCUUGUUGGUGAGGUAAUGGCUCACCAAGGCGACGACGGGUAGCCGGCCUGAGAGGGUGACCGGCCACACUGGGACUGAGACACGGCCCAGACUCCUACGGGAGGCAGCAGUGGGGAAUAUUGCACAAUGGGCGCAAGCCUGAUGCAGCAACGCCGCGUGAGGGACGACGGCCUUCGGGUUGUAAACCUCUUUUGGCAGGGAAGAAGCGAAAGUGACGGUACCUGCAGAAAAAGCACCGGCUAACUACGUG
rnacentral:rRNA from 1 species